GGAAUGUGCUAAAGUCAUGACCAUAUGUUCCCAGAUUGCCAUGUGACUGAGAUUCAAGAAACGUGACAAAGACAGAUAUGCGACGGAGCAGUUGUUUCACACAUAAGCUCCACUUCUGCAUGGAGAUCCAGGUCCUACAAAUGAGUCUCCUGGAUUUCCAGAAUCUGGAAGGACACCAAGUCUUGACCGUAUAGGACAUCUUCUCUUUUCUGGACCAGGCUUGCAUACCAUGUGGCUCUGGUGGAAGAAGGUCUCGAUGGAGGAACCCGAAGGGCUCCGGAGGCCCUCCGUUAGGCCUCCCUUUGGCAUGAGCCAUCGAUAUCUGGACUAUGGAGUGUGUGGCUAUUGAACCAUUCACUUGAUACCGGCGCACCUGCUGAAGAGAAUACUGCAUCUGGAUGCUGGGCAGCGCAUUACACCGCAGGACAUGCUGAAACAUCCCUACAGCAUCUCUUCCAGCAAUGCCAUGCUGACCAGUGCAGCACCAGCCAGUACGUUUUUGAUAAGAGGUGAGGAGUUGGCCUGGUUUCCUUCGACUUGGCAGCUUCCUGGCACGCAGGGCGGCGCGGCUGAUGGUUUGAUCUCCUCGCUGGGAGUUCGCACACUUGCCAGCCCAACCCAUGGGUGCCUGCACAGGGUUUGGGUGGGCACCCGUAGUCGUUUGUCGUAUGGGUGUGUUAGUAUUGGGCUGAUGGUGAGAGAGAGAGUUG
ensembl:lncRNA